UUGAACGCUGGCGGCAUGCUUUACCCCUGCCGGUCGAACGGCAGCGCGGGCUUCGGCCUGGCGGCGAGUGGCGAACGGGUGAGUAAUACAUCGGAACGUGCCCAGUAGUGGGGGAUAGCUCGGCGAAAGCCGGAUUAAUACCGCAUACGACCUGAGGGUGAAAGCGGGGGAUCUUCGGACCUCGCGCUAUUGGAGCGGCCGAUGGCAGAUUAGCUAGUUGGUGGGGUAAAGGCCUACCAAGGCGACGAUCUGUAGCUGGUCUGAGAGGACGACCAGCCACACUGGGACUGAGACACGGCCCAGACUCCUACGGGAGGCAGCAGUGGGGAAUUUUGGACAAUGGGCGAAAGCCUGAUCCAGCAAUGCCGCGUGUGUGAUGAAGGCCUUCGGGUUGUAAAGCACUUUUGGCGGGAACGAAAAGGACUGUGCCAAUACCACGGUUCGAUGACGGUACCCGCAGAAUAAGCACCGGCUAACUACGUG
rnacentral:rRNA from 1 species